GUAGUCGUGGAGGCGACAUCGACUGCGAAAGUAGCUGGCUGUGCCGGUGCCGAAGUGGGAUAGUGCUGUCGACCCGAUCCAGGAAACACGUAAACCGACGCCUGCCUGUCGAUCUCGCUCGCUGCUUCUGGCGCAUCGGCUUCGGACAUACUGGCACAUCUGCCGACAGGUAGUAUUUCUCAUGAAGAGAACUAACGGAACGGCCGCUGGAUGUAAUUGACUCGAGGAAAUGCCACUCAAGUUUUGCUCACGAUACGAUACAACAACUACCUUUCAGUGAAAAUUGAACGGUACUUAAAUGAUAACAGCGGGUGCUGUUUAUUUAACAGACGCGAAUAGAACGUCGAGCAAAUUGAAGAUAAACUGAAAAAAAUUAUAGUAGAGAAAACACAUCGGCGUCGGACGAUGUAUCGGAGGAGUGUGAAAUCAAUAAUUUCGUUUCAGAUGUUCUUUUGCCAAAAUCGAAAAUAUUGAUCGUUCUCUCAGGACUAUUUAUAGAGAACUAUUCGCAGAAGAAAGCCAGCGACGUUUUGAACGAUAUGCAGGAAGUAACGCAACGCGUUUCCAACUCCAUUCACUGAUGAUCAUGGGUGCACUUGUACUUGCCCGACACAGAUAGGCUAUUAAUAAGAUUGUGCAAAGAUAGAAAGAGAAAGGGGAGAGGAGGGUUUUUCGAGGAAACCGAUACCCUCAGACCGAUGGAUUAAAGUCGCCGACGGUGCUUCCGCAGAUUUGACAAAAUAUUGCGAAACGCUAAACAAAUCACCUUACGCCGAAUAAUCCAAUAGUAUCGUAUUCAUUCGUAAGACCCAGCGACCUUCGCCUCAGAGUCACGACUUCGAGUCCAUCGACCUUCUACGUACAUUCGCAUGAGUUAACAUUACUUGAAGAAAAAUAAAAAAAUGUUCAGCCUGAUUACGAGAAGCUACAAGUGUGCGCGCAUGGCAACAAGGUAUCAGACAAGAAACUUCCUUUAUCAGUCCGUUCGUAGAAUUCAUGUCCAAGCGACGUUGACAAUUUAUCGGUCGAUUUUUCGCUUGUGAAUUUUAUACGAGAGCCGGCGAGCUCGUGUGCCUUUCUCUUGGCACCCGCACAAUUCCUUACGUUCGAGCAUGCGAACACAGAAGCGGUCGCAUGUUUAACGAGGAACCGUUGGAGUGACACACGUCUGUCGCAUGCACAUGCUCGCUAAACAACUUCCCGAGUUAAUUAGGACAAACCAGAUUAAAUGAUUCGAUAAAUUCAACGUGCUUCCAUUAGUACACUGUUCGAGAGACAAACAACACGAUGUGAACAUCCUCGUCGAUACCCAACGUGAAUACCGAUAACUUUCAUCGACGUGCACAAUUGCAACGAGUGCAAUUCGUACAAACGCAUUUUGAAAGUUAAUAUGAUUAAUAUUAAUAUGGAAAGGUAAUGAGUAUUACUACGGAUGCUUAUAAGAUCAUUAAAAACAAUUUAUUUAUGACUCAUAUAUUAUAUUUAAAUACACAAUAAAAUAUUUUAAUUAUGACUA